GAUGAACGCUGGCGGCGUGCCUAAUACAUGCAAUUCGAGCGAACAGACGAGGAGCUUGCUCCUCUGACGUUAGCGGCGGACGGGUGAGUAACACGUGGGUAACCUACCUAUAAGACUGGGAUAACUUCGGGAAACCGGAGCUAAUACCGGAUAAUAUAUUGAACCGCAUGGUUCAAUAGUGAAAGACGGUUUUGCUGUCACUUAUAGAUGGAUCCGCGCCGCAUUAGCUAGUUGGUAAGGUAACGGCUUACCAAGGCAACGAUGCGUAGCCGACCUGAGAGGGUGAUCGGCCACACUGGAACUGAGACACGGUCCAGACUCCUACGGGAGGCAGCAGUAGGGAAUCUUCCGCAAUGGGCGAAAGCUUGACGGAGCAACGCCGCGUGAGUGAUGAAGGUCUUCGGAUCGUAAAACUCUGUUAUUAGGGAAGAACAAAUGUGUAAGUAACUAUGCACGUCUUGACGGUACCUAAUCAGAAAGCCACGGCUAACUACGUG
rnacentral:rRNA from 1 species